GGGCGGGACACGUGGUAUCCUGUCUGAAUAUGGGGGGACCAUCCUCCAAGGCUAAAUACUCCUGACUGACCGAUAGUGAACCAGUACCGUGAGGGAAAGGCGAAAAGAACCCCGGCGAGGGGAGUGAAAAAGAACCUGAAACCGUGUACGUACAAGCAGUGGGAGCACGCUUAGGCGUGUGACUGCGUACCUUUUGUAUAAUGGGUCAGCGACUUAUAUUCUGUAGCAAGGUUAACCGAAUAGGGGAGCCGAAGGGAAACCGAGUCUUAACUGGGCGUUAAGUUGCAGGGUAUAGACCCGAAACCCGGUGAUCUAGCCAUGGGCAGGUUGAAGGUUGGGUAACACUAACUGGAGGACCGAACCGACUAAUGUUGAAAAAUUAGCGGAUGACUUGUGGCUGGGGGUGAAAGGCCAAUCAAACCGGGAGAUAGCUGGUUCUCCCCGAAAGCUAUUUAGGUAGCGCCUCGUGAAUUCAUCUCCGGGGGUAGAGCACUGUUUCGGCAAGGGGGUCAUCCCGACUUACCAACCCGAUGCAAACUGCGAAUACCGGAGAAUGUUAUCACGGGAGACACACGGCGGGUGCUAACGUCCGUCGUGAAGAGGGAAACAACCCAGACCGCCAGCUAAGGUCCCAAAGUCAUGGUUAAGUGGGAAACGAUGUGGGAAGGCCCAGACAGCCAGGAUGUUGGCUUAGAAGCAGCCAUCAUUUAAAGAAAGCGUAAUAGCUCACUGGUCGAGUCGGCCUGCGCGGAAGAUGUAACGGGGCUAAACCAUGCACCGAAGCUGCGGCAGCGACGCUUAUGCGUUGUUGGGUAGGGGAGCGUUCUGUAAGCCUGUGAAGGUGUGCUGUGAGGCAUGCUGGAGGUAUCAGAAGUGCGAAUGCUGACAUAAGUAACGAUAAAGCGGGUGAAAAGCCCGCUCGCCGGAAGACCAAGGGUUCCUGUCCAACGUUAAUCGGGGCAGGGUGAGUCGACCCCUAAGGCGAGGCCGAAAGGCGUAGUCGAUGGGAAACAGGUUAAUAUUCCUGUACUUGGUGUUACUGCGAAGGGGGGACGGAGAAGGCUAUGUUGGCCGGGCGACGGUUGUCCCGGUUUAAGCGUGUAGGCUGGUUUUCCAGGCAAAUCCGGAAAAUCAAGGCUGAGGCGUGAUGACGAGGCACUACGGUGCUGAAGCAACAAAUGCCCUGCUUCCAGGAAAAGCCUCUAAGCAUCAGGUAACAUCAAAUCGUACCCCAAACCGACACAGGUGGUCAGGUAGAGAAUACCAAGGCGCUUGAGAGAACUCGGGUGAAGGAACUAGGCAAAAUGGUGCCGUAACUUCGGGAGAAGGCACGC
rnacentral:rRNA from 1 species